rnacentral:lncRNA from 1 species
CGACCGUCUGAUCGUAUUUAAGGAGAAAAUAAAUCUGGACCAUUCAUCGCGUUUAAUUGCGACCGUCCGAUCAGUCCUGAGGAAGGAAUGAUUUAGACUGUCCACGCGUGCAGGAAUGCAUCUGACCCAUCCGAUCGCGGGCACGCGGAUUGCCAGCGUGGCCCUCCCACGUGGCACUGAGUCAGCGUGCCUUGUCACACGGCAU